ACAACACUAAUUAAUUAUAUAUUCUUUGCAUUACCAGUUAAGAAGUCAGGCGGAGAGAGAAGAAGAAAAGGUAGUAGCAAAUUAAGCUUUAGGAUAUGUUUCCCUAGCUAGCUACCAAUCCUUCAUGAUGCUAAAGCCAGCUCUAGCCUAAUUUAAAGCUUGGUAUAUCUAUAUACCUCCAUGAGAAGGCCACAAGACUUUCUCCUGGAGUGCAGCUUUGGCACUUCAGCUGGGCAGUGCUCACUUCUCAAAGUCUGUCAUUGAACUGUAUAAGCCCUAUGGAUAUAUAAAUAUACACAUCCAUGGGUUGCCGAGUCGAUCGAGAUCGGCAUACCAACGAACCCGAUCGGUGCGUCCACGAGCUUCGUUGAUGAUCACCGCCAUAUAUAAGAGAAACUGGGUAUUCAUGAUUCUGCUUCAAAUCUGAUCUUCUGGGAAUGGUUUUAUCUUGUCCAUUGGCUGUGGAUGCGCGUCAACUGAAAUCAGAGGCAAAAGUAAUUGGGCGCUUAAUUAAUUAUUGAAAGCCUGAAGGAUAUAACCAGUUGUUUUUGGAAGAUCAACAACUGAAGGAGCUAGCCUGAGACGGGAAAGAGGAUUGAGGAUAGAGGAUCUCCAUCCCGCCAAUAAAUCAAGAAACAAAUUACAAAGUGCAGAUGCACACUGACUUUCGGUGUAUUUUGAAAUUUAUUAAUCGCUACGAUCAUAAUUGGUUAUUGUUUUAUUGGAAAUUUGUUUUUGGUUCAUUA